rnacentral:lncRNA from 1 species
CAUCAUCUUCUUCUUCCUCUGUCAACGAGGUGAAAAUCUGGCCUUGAUCCCUCUUUUCUUAUUUAACUCUUUUGAAGGGGAUCUUCUUUUUAAUUGUCCUUUUCUUCAGCCACGGCGUCUUAGUCCCGAACUUGAACGCGCCAUCGAGCUCCUGCACUCUGAUGAACCGCUGUCGUCAGAAGACAAGGAUUUAAUCAGGUCUCAUCGUGACGAACUUCAAGAACAUGUCCCUGCUGACAUUCGUCACAUCUGGGACUUCCUGGACGGCAACGCCCGCCGGUGACCUCAAGCCGACCGAAGUCAUCCGCUUCCUCCACGAGUCGCCCUUGAAGAUGUGGCGGUAGGAACUUCGCGCCCGGCCAUGGAUCGGAGCCACCCUCUCCCCCGUCAAGUCGAAGCGGAGGCUUCGAUGAAAGAGACAGAAGAAGAGUACAUUCGUCGUAUGAUAGAGUUAGGUCGGGCUGAGAGAGAGCGUAAGAAAAAGAAUGGUGAGGCUUCAAUGAAAGAGAUGGACGAAGAGUACAUCCGUCUCAUGAUAGAAUUAGGUCGGGCUGAGAGAGAGCGUAAGAAGAAGAAUGGUUAAUUAUUAUUUUUGUUCUAAGGGCGACUUGUACCUUGUCGGCCGUGUAACCCACCGUCCGUACCGAAUGAACACAUCGGCUGAUUUGGAUGAUUACAUGUUUUUUUCUAGACGAACCGUUUUGUAUCGGCUGUGUACCGUUGUUUUGUGGUCAAUCCUUUAUGCUCCGACUCAUAUACUAGGGUAGUAUCUUUUCAGGUACCUUCCGUUCAGAGCCCUAGUAAACUCUUCUCCCUCGAUUAUUUCCAAAAUAUAAGCAUUUCCUGGAGCACAUCUGCCGAUUUUAUAUGGCCCUUCCCACGUAGGGGACCACUUUCCGAAUUUAGGAUCUUUCGACCCAAUCGGCAAUACUAACUUCCAAACCAGGUCCCCUGGGGAGAAUUGUUUGACUUUGACCUUCUUAUCAUACCACCUGGC